rnacentral:rRNA from 1 species
CGGGGUGCAGCAGGCGCGAAAACUCUACAAUGCAGGCAACUGCGAUAGGGGAACAUCGAGUGAUCCUUAUAUUGGGGGUCUGUCCACCCGUCUAAAAAACGGGUGUUAGCAAGGGCCGGGCAAGACCGGUGCCCGCCGCCGCGGUAAUACCGGCGGCUCGAGUGGUGGCCGAUAUUAUUGAGUCUAAAGGGUCCAUAGCCGGCUUUGCAAGUCUCUCGGGAAAUCCAGCGGCUUAACCGUUGGUCGUCCGGGGGGUACUACAUUGCUUGGGACUGGGAGAGGUAGGAGGUACUCAGGGGGUAGGAGUGAAAUCCUGUAAUCCUUUGGGGACCACCGGUGGCGAAGGCGUCCUACCAGAACAGGUCCGACGGUGAGGGACGAAAGCUAGGGGCACGAACCGGAUUAGAUACCCGGGUAGUCCUAGCCGUAAACGAUGCUCGCUAGGUGUCACAACAGUCGUGAACUGUUGUGGUGCCGUAGGGAAGCCGUGAAGCGAGCCACUUGGGAAGUACGACCGCAAGGUUGAAACUUAAAGGAAUUGGC